rnacentral:piRNA from 1 species
UACGAUCCAUACGAUGUUCAU